GUAGGUGCAAGCGUUGUCCGGAAUUAUUGGGCGUAAAGCGCGCGCAGGGCGGUCCUUUAAGUCUGAUGUGAAAGCCCACGGCUCAACCGUGGAGGGUCAUUGGAAACUGGGGGACUUGAGUACAGAAGAGGAAAGCGGAAUUCCAAGUGUAGCGGUGAAAUGCGUAGAGAUUUGGAGGAACACCAGUGGCGAAGGCGGCUUUCUGGUCUGUAACUGACGCUGAGGCGCGAAAGCGUGGGGAGCAAACAGGAUUAGAUACCCUGGUAGUCCACGCCGUAAACGAUGAGUGCUAAGUGUUAGGGGGUUUCCGCCCCUUAGUGCUGCAGCUAACGCAUUAAGCACUCCGCCUGGGGAGUACGGCCGCAAGGCUG
rnacentral:rRNA from 1 species